rnacentral:rRNA from 1 species
UACGGGGGGGGCAAGCGUUGUUCGGAAUUACUGGGCGUAAAGGGCGCGUAGGCGGCCUUCUAAGUCGAACGUGAAAUCCCCGGGCUCAACCCGGGAACUGCGUCCGAUACUGGAAGGCUUGAAUCCGGGAGAGGGAUGUGGAAUUCCAGGUGUAGCGGUGAAAUGCGUAGAUAUCUGGAGGAACACCGGUGGCGAAGGCGGCAUCCUGGACCGACACUGACACUGAGGAGCGAAAGCCAGGGGAGCAAACGGG